CUAAGGAAGCUGUGGAACUGGUAAGACGAUCGGCUGGAUCUUCGGAUCUCCCCGAUAUGAACCUCCCCGUGCUUUUUAGAACAUAGAUGGCACCAGUCAGGUGACCAUCGAAACGUAAUACGCCGCGAUGACUUCGGUCACGACGGUAUGGCGAGCUUUCGCCGUCCACGUUUCUCUUUCUUCAAAAGGAUAUCGAACCAUUGGUUUGCGCUCACGCACGUACCGCCCUUCGGGCUGUGCUCCGCGGGGGCGCCGGACGACCGGCGACGGCCUCUGGCCUGUAUGGGAGAGCCUUGAUAGGCUUGAAGUUCGGCGAGAUGGGCCCGUAGCUCAGUUGGUUAGAGCACACGCUUGAUAAGCGUGGGGUCGGAAGUUCAAGUCUUCCCGGGCCCACCAUUUGCACCAGCAAAUGAGUUUGCUGUAGCGAAUAGUGGUUUGUUUGGGUUUACCUGAUCCUGGCGGUUUGCUGUCAGGUGUUUGCGAUGGUUGGGGCUGUAGCUCAGCUGGGAGAGCACCUGCUUUGCAAGCAGGGGGUCAGCGGUUCGAUCCCGCUCAGCUCCACCAAAUUCUGUCCUCACGGCGAAAGCCUGCGGACGGCGCGCCGAACGAUCGGCGACGGCCUCUGGCCUGUAUUUGGCGGAUUGUUGCUGGCGGUGAAUGAUAUCCUUUGAAGAAAUAAAAGUUUUGCAUCGGCUUAUGGCUGAUGCGUGUUCUGCAUACAUUGUGAAGAGAAGAUUGAUCUGGAGGCUUCCAGGUGUCGUGGGUUGUUAUCCAUGAUGUCCGAGCCCAGUUCUGAUGAUCCCGUGGAUGGCCUAGCCGGCCGGAUAUGGGUGAAGGACUGGAGGUAGGAAGGAAGUCUGUCGCUCUGGGUCGUUGUUGUUUGCUGUCUUUAGGGAUGAGCAUCUGACGGACGACUUGAUUACCGUUGCCUGACCGCGCGGUAUCGGAUCAUAUCUCGAGAAGCUGGUCUUAAGACAGGCUGCAAGCGAGCUGCUCGGCGUAGCUCCAAUAAAGCAGACCUGUCGAACACGUUAAUGGCAUUGUUGGAUUGACUGGGUUGUAAAAGGUAACCCGGUCUGUUGCCGUUCCUUAUGGGGCGGGCAACGAGACGAUGAGCAUUGGCAAUGAGAACG
rnacentral:tRNA from 1 species